UACGUAGGGUGCGAGCGUUGUCCGGAAUUAUUGGGCGUAAAGAGCUCGUAGGCGGUGUGUCGCGUCGGCCGUGAAAACCUGGGGCUCAACUCUGGGCGUGCGGUCGAUACGGGCAUCACUUGAGUUCGGCAGGGAAGACUGGAAUUCCUGGUGUAGCGGUGAAAUGCGCAGAUAUCAGGAGGAACACCGGUGGCGAAGGCGGGUCUCUGGGCCGAUACUGACGCUGAGGAGCGAAAGCGUGGGGAGCGAACAGG
rnacentral:rRNA from 1 species